CUCAUUACGAACGCUGGCGACAGGCCUAACACAUGCAAGUCGAACGGAUCCUUCGGGAUUAGUGGCAGACGGGUGAGUAACGCGUGGGAAGCUACCUUGUGGUAGGGAACAACAGUUGGAAACGACUGCUAAUACCCUAUGAGCCCUAUGGGGGAAAGAUUUAUCGCCAUGAGAUGUGCCCGCGUUAGAUUAGCUAGUUGGUAAGGUAAUGGCUUACCAAGGCGACGAUCUAUAGCUGGUCUGAGAGGAUGAUCAGCCACACUGGGACUGAGACACGGCCCAGACUCCUACGGGAGGCAGCAGUGGGGAAUAUUGGACAAUGGGGGCAACCCUGAUCCAGCCAUGCCGCGUGAGUGAUGACGGCCUUAGGGUUGUAAAGCUCUUUCAGCAGUGAAGAUAAUGACAUUAACUGCAGAAGAAGCCCCGGCUAACUUCGUGCCAGCAGCCGCGGUAAUACGAAGGGGGCUAGCGUUGUUCGGAAUCACUGGGCGUAAAGCGUACGUAGGCGGACUGAUCAGUCAGGGGUGAAAUCCCGGGGCUCAACCCCGGAACUGCCUUUGAUACUGUCAGUCUUGAGAUCGAGAGAGGUGAGUGGAACUCCGAGUGUAGAGGUGAAAUUCGUAGAUAUUCGGAAGAACACCAGUGGCGAAGGCGGCUCACUGGCUCGAUACUGAC
rnacentral:rRNA from 1 species